rnacentral:rRNA from 1 species
ACACUCCUGCGGGAGGCAGCAGUGGGGAAUCUUGGACAAUGGGGGCAACCCUGAUCCAGCAAUGCCGCGUGAGUGAAGAAGGCCUUCGGGUUGUAAAGCUCUUUUGUCAGGGAAGAAACGGUAGUAGCGAAUAACUAUUACUAAUGACGGUACCUGAAGAAUAAGCACCGGCUAACUACGUGCCAGCAGCCGCGGUAAUACGUAGGGUGCAAGCGUUAAUCGGAAUUACUGGGCGUAAAGCGUGCGCAGGCGGUUGUGUAAGUCAGAUGUGAAAUCCCCGGGCUCAACCUGGGAAUUGCAUUUGAGACUGCACGGCUAGAGUGUGUCAGAGGGGGGUAGAAUUCCACGUGUAGCAGUGAAAUGCGUAGAUAUGUGGAGGAAUACCGAUGGCGAAGGCAGCCCCCUGGGAUAACACUGACGCUCAUGCACGAAAGCGUGGGGAGCAAACAGGAUUAGAAACCCCUGUAGUCCCAUG